CUCGCUGUGUGGCUACCCAAGUCACAUCCCAUGUGUUCAAGGUGGAAAGCCUACCCUCACACUGGUGUCAGCAUCGAGACCCAAGUCCAGAGCUGCAUGGUCAUCGCUGUGAUGAAAGCCAAGCAUACCUGCACGGACUGACAGGCAGGGUGGUGCCCAUUUUCCGGGAGCAAUCUGGAAGCAAAGCUAACACUCACUGUGACACCACAUUCCCGGCAGCAGAAGACAGACAAGGACACAUGGUAAGGCCAUCCUUAAAGUGGCAGAUGUGGCUUGUGAACCUUGGCCAGACUCUGCUCCCUGGGAUGACAGAAACCUGCCACAUCCACACCAGACGGCACUGCUCCCCUGGCCUGGACAUGGCAGACAUGGUGCGCCACUAAAUUGCCACGAACUUGCCACGAACUAUAGAGGAGCCUUUCUUCACCUUGUCCCAGGAUGACACAACGAUGUGCUGCUUGGAUGUUACCUGUACUAAUGGAUUCCUUUCUCAUGUGUUAGUAAAAACUGGUGCUUGCUUCUUAGAGGAUGUAUUGUUUCUUUUCCACUACUGGGGACCCCUCAAGGCCUCUGGGACAGCCAAUGCUGCUUCCCUUUUGGAAAACUCUCAGCAGUGACAUCAUGAGGGCAUUUCUUUUUCCAGGACCCUUACCCUACACCACUGUUUAUGGAAGCAGACCCACCCUGCAGUUACUGCCGUCUGUGGACAUUCCUCCACAGUACGGGAACACUGCAGAGGAGGUAAGCUACACAUCCUGGGGCAAAGCUCCAACUGAGAAUUGGCUGCAAAGUAUCUUGUGCCAACACGUGCUUCAAGAUGGUAUGUUUAUGGCUACUGAUGUGUUUGGAUACUUUCAGCACACACCUCUCUCCUGAUCUUGGAAAAAAAAGUUGUCUACCAGGAAGUGACUCCCAGGGUCUAUUGUGGCUUCAGGAAAAUCCAGCUUCAACUGAAUUGCCUUCUUUUACUGGUAUUUAAAUUUUCUUAGUGGGUUUCACUUACAGAUGCAGGCUGAAAUGGCAUACAGCAUGGGUGCCGCUCUGAGUCCACUCCUGGAUGAAAGGGCUGAGGAUGUGGGCCUCAACUAUCCUCUCCCACGCCCGUGGGUCUGCCCUGCAUGCUGUUACUACCAACUGGGGUAUAGUGGUACACCCGUCACACACCUGCAUCCAGGAACAGCCAUGGACAAUUAGAUAUCACAGGGGAGUUUUGAUCUCUGCUAUUGACAAACACCAGAUCUCUUGCCUCUUCCCCUGGCAGUGAACUUUGGCCUGUGACAUCAGUCCUGUGGCGAGAAACACAUUUCCUAGAAUCUUAGACAACGGGUAGCUGAACCCCAGGAAUGAGUUGCAGGUGCUUAUGAGAACACGACAGCUUGAGUGAGAAGCAUCCUCCAGGAUGUGGACCUCCAGGGGUCCAUGUAGUAAAGACUUCCUCCCCAAGGAGGUAAUACUGGUAAAUGCUGCUAGAGCCCAAGUCAUGAUGCGAUGCUAUGACCAUCAUCGGCACAGUAGGAACCAGGCUCUCUCUCCUCUUCUGUGGAAAGAGGCAAAUGGCUUUGUUUUCAUCACUCCCUCCCUCCUCCCCCUUGCUAUGACAUGUUGCUUUACACAGCAAAGGAGCCAACUGGUUAAUAGUUGACCCUAUGAAACCAGGAGCCCAAAGACCCUUUUUCUUUGAAUUGAUUAUCCUAUUUGUUAUCAUGACAAGUAACAAAAAAGGCUGGAGAGAACCACCCCCAUCCCCCCCGCCAUGGGCAUCAGACCCUCCUGCUGUCCUUUCUGCGCCUCUCCAAUCAGUCUCCAGAUUUUAACUUCUGUCCCCCUAACAGAGCCUCUGUAGACCACACCCCUCAAGUGAAUCACCUAGGCAAAUAAAAUAAUGAAUCAUAAAUUUUAUUUCAAAAUGUAAACGUCACUAAACAUGCAUACAUGUUAAAACAAUAAAAUUUACAAUUUCAUUAAUUUUUCUUUUGCAUAGGACAUUACAAUAUAGAAUCUAUGCCUUACAAAAUACAUAACAAAGUUUUAUCCAAGCAAGCCAAGGCCAGAUUGGGAACUGUACAACUGUAAUACUUCACUGUAGUGAUCCAGGAAAA